UACUAAUAAGGCCAGAGUGAGAUUUUUCAUUCUGCACAGGAGACUGAGGUGCUUCUUCAAUGUUUGUUCCUGAUACAUCAGCUUCAAAGGCUGCACUGGAAGAAGAAGAGAAGGUUGGACCCUGAGAGUAAUAUUGAGAACUUCGAUAGCCAUCCCUCCGCAGCUUGUCACAUUCUGCACAUGGGAGGCGUGAUCGUGCUCAAGAUUAACAGAUGCUGGAGCGUAAGGAAAAAUUAAAUGUUCAAGAUGCGACGACCAAACUGAUCCGCCGAGUCAAACUGUGAGUUUUACAUUUCCAGAGACUGAAAUCUGAAUCUGUUGCAAGAUUAGCAAAGCACAAAUAAAAAUAAGUAUUUAUUACACCUCUACCUAAGUAAUUGAAAUGUCUCCUGAACAGUGUACAUUGUCAUGAUGCAAACAGCUUUUGUCAUUACUUACUGGAGAAGAGAUGUUUUGAGAAUUAACAGUUUUGUGCUUGCUUCACUCCUUACCGUUUGACCUCUGUGUGUGUGUGUGUGUGUGUGCGCGCACGCAUAUAUAUAAAUAAAAAUUUCCAUUUUUUCUGAAUUGAGGGCACCUUUUAAGGAGCAAUUUUGCUUGGUGAAUCAUUAAAUGGAGUUACAACUUGCAAUGAGAGAAUAAUUUGGCUUUGUUUUACUGUUUAUUCAAAAGGUUCUCAAAUCUUAUACUCAACAAACUAGGUUUCCCCCACUGAUUCCUCUACUGUUUUCAACAAGACAUCUUGUGAAUAGCAAAGAAUACCAUACUCUAAGACAGCCUCCAAAACAAAAAUCCUUUUUACUGAAUACAGGCAUCUAAUUCUAUGAGACAAAGCCUGUUUUAAAUUGCAAUGUUUUUAAUGGAAUGCAAUACCAAGUUUCACAAUUAACUUAGGGGUGAGGGGAGAACAGGAUUAUGGCACAUGAUCUUCCCUGCCCCAUGAACCUCAUGAAUGCAGCAUAUUACAAGGCCACAUAUCUGGUUCAAGGCCUGGUGUUCUUGCUGUGAAGUCGCACAAUUGUCUUGGUUUCUAAAUCAUGGCUUUGUACAAUAAAGACAGGGUAUUGUGUUUAGUGGGCCCUUCUGCUAGUAUGUUCCAAUCUGUCCUCAAGAGCAGUUACUUUUUACCUCACUGUAACUUAACCGGGAACACCUAAGAUGAAGAAGACAUAUAUGUAGAAUGAUACUGCAAAAGACAACAGACCCCCAAUAUUACCCUCUAAAAAAAUGAAGGUGCAGCUUUUAAAGAUAAAUUGCGAAGUAAAAUAAAGAAGGUAUGUGGGCUGUAGUUGUUGUGAGUGUAACAGAUGGCAGUUUCCUGCAAUGUCCUAGUUAAACAUUAUUGAAUUAAGUUUAAGUAUUUUAGGAGUACACUGUAUUAAAAAUGUAAUUGUUUAUGCAUAAUUGAGGGAUUGUAUAUAAUCUCAUGAGGCGGGGGACCACCCCCCUCUAGGAACUAAGAAUAGUGGGGAGGUGGUUAGACAAAUUCACUCAGGUUGAAACACGUCUAGAGAGCUACCACCACCUGGAGAGAUGCUCAAAUAUACUGGUUCAAACUGGAUUUACUAGGGACUAACAGAGAAAAAGGAUUUUUGGUUAACUAGUUUGAGUAAAAACUGACUCAGGACCUUCUCUCUGAUCCAGCAAAUGGACAGAACCUCUAGUCCAAGGGGGGCCCCAAACCUUAGGGAAGUGUUGGAAAGACUAAUCACCAACCAGAGCCAUAAGAAUGGCUAUAUUGGGUCAGAUCAAGGGUCCAUCUAGCCAAGUAUCCGAUCUUCCAACAGUGGUCAUGGCAGAUGCUUCAGAGGGAAUGAACAGAACAGGACGAUUAUCAAAUGACCCAUCCACUGUCAUCUAGUCCCAGCUUCUAGCAGUCAGAGGUUUAGGGAUAACCGGAGCAUGGGGUUGCCUCCUUGACCAUCUUGGCUAAUAGCUACUGAUGGACCUAUCCUCCAUGAACUUAUCUCAUUCUUUUCUGAAUCUAGUUAUAGUUUUGGCAUUCACAACAUCCCUUGGCAAUGAGUCCAUGUUAGAGUUAGGCUGUGAUCUCUGAUAAGCUUAUUAGCAUGUGUGUAGGUUCUUUUAUUGUUUGUAAUAUAUUUUCUCUGUAAUGCUUUUAUCUUAAGAAUAAAAGUGCUC